rfam:Ixodes scapularis strain Wikel colony gcontig_1107729114674, whole genome shotgun sequence.
CCCUGGUUAGCUCAGUUGGUAGAGCGCUCCACUUGUAAUGGCGAGGUCCCGGGUUCGAUACCCGGACCAGGCG